rnacentral:rRNA from 1 species
GACGAACGCUGGCGGCGUGCUUAACACAUGCAAGUCGAACGGAAAGGCCCUGCUUGCAGGGUACUCGAGUGGCGAACGGGUGAGUAACACGUGGGUGAUCUGCCCUGCACUUCGGGAUAAGCCUGGGAAACUGGGUCUAAUACCGGAUAGGAGCCAUUUUUAGUGUGAUGGUUGGAAAGUUUUUUCGGUGUAGGAUGAGCUCGCGGCCUAUCAGCUUGUUGGUGGGGUAAUGGCCUACCAAGGCGGCGACGGGUAGCCGGCCUGAGAGGGUGGACGGCCACAUUGGGACUGAGAUGCGGCCCAGACUCCUACGGGAGGCAGCAGUGGGGAAGAUUGCACGAGGGGCGCAAGCCUGAUGCAGCGACGCCGCGUGGGGGAUGACGGCCUUCGGGUUGAAAACUCCUUUCGCUAGGGACGAAGCUUUUUGUGACGGUACCUAGAUAAGAAGCACCGGCUAACUACGUG